UGAGUUCUGCCACUAGAGGGCAGCAUCGCCAUUCACACAGUGUUUCCACGCCAGGUGAGGAAUGUCGUAUUCAUUUCGAGUGUCUGGACCUUGAACACACCACGGCCUCUAACUGCACCGUCCUUGGUGCCGUCUCCUGCCUGCAGCUCACUGCGUUUCAGAGAGCGAUGCAGUGAUCCUCCUGCGGCCCUGAACCAAAGCCAGGUCGUCUCCGAACCGCCGCCUGAAAAAUACAUUUCCCACAGCUAUUCUUGAAGCUCGUCACCGCCAUCUUUUACCUCUGGGUCAGCCUGCGUUGUCACAUGUACAUGAGCUUCCCUAUUGCACAAUGGAUAAAGCUGUUGUUAAAGUUUGAGCUUGUAGCAACACUCAUAACUAAUUCAUCAAAACUAAAGAUGACUGUAGAUAUAUAGUCAUUACAUGCAUGUUGUAACUGGUAAUUUAAUACGUUUUUCAUGCCUCAGGUGAAUCAAACUGCUGUUGUCAAAUUGUUUUCGAACAGUAUCUAAAACAUUUUGUGGAGAUCCAAAAGAAGAGUUUGCAUAUCACGUUAUUUUA